UGAAUAUGAACCUCUUGCUGCAAGUUUGGUUCCUCUUGAAAAAGUGCAGAGUCUGUCAUUUUUCUCCUACAAUGGACAUUAAAGACCUGAUGAAAAGACCCUGAAGUCAAUUUAAAGGAACCAGUUAACUUCGGUGGCUUUGGUUCGGAGUCCAGGCAGGAACAUUAGCUGCAUGCACAGAACAUGAAUUUCCUUGUUGUACAAUGCCCUUCAAGUCCUACUGAAAGGAGUUGUCCUUUCUCAAAUAGAAUACAUACCUACGCAUCAUGUCUGCGAAGAUGAUUUGCGUGAUUGCUUAGUGCAGCUAGCGCUGGGUCUGCUGACUCCAGGAGUACUCCUCCUGACUAGGACAGGCAGAGUCGUGUUCAGAAAGCUGGGACUAAAGCUCUGAAGAGUUUUGAAGAUGAAUGUUAGUAUUGAAUUCUACUUAGAAAUUAAGGAAAAGAAUAAAGCAAUCUAUAAGGUACAGAUGAAAUAUACUUCCUUUCUGU